UACGUAGGGUGCAAGCGUUAAUCGGAAUUACUGGGCGUAAAGCGUGCGCAGGCGGUUGUGCAAGACCGAUGUGAAAUCCCCGGGCUUAACCUGGGAAUGGCAUUGGUGACUGCACAGCUAGAGUGUGUCAGAGGGGGGUAGAAUUCCACGUGUAGCAGUGAAAUGCGUAGAGAUGUGGAGGAAUACCGAUGGCGAAGGCAGCCCCCUGGGAUAACACUG
rnacentral:rRNA from 1 species